AGUGAACGCUGGCGGUAGGCCUAACACAUGCAAGUCGAACGGCAGCACAGUAAGCUCUUUCUCUUACGGUUAGCGAGUGGCGGACGGGUGAGGAAUACAUCGGCAUCCUCUUUUUCGUGGGGGAUAACGUAGGGAAACUUCUGCUAACACCGCAUACGACCUACCGCAUAAAGCAGGAGUGCUUCGCACCUUGCCUGUCUCAAUGAGCCGGUGCCGGAUUAGCUAGUUGGCGGGGUAAGGGCCCACCAAGGCAACGAUGCGUAGCUGGUCUGAGAGGAUGAUCGGCCACACUGGAACUGAGACACGGUCCAGACUCCUACGGGAGGCAGCAGUAGGGAAUAUUCGGCAAUGGGCGCAAGCCUGAUCCAGCCACACCGCGUGAGUGAAGAGGGUCUUCGGGUCGUAAAGCUCUGUUAUUAGGAAAGAAAAGCAGCAGAAGUAUAUCCCGACGUUUUGACGGUACCCAAAGAGAAAGCAACGGCUAACUUCGUG
rnacentral:rRNA from 1 species